rnacentral:rRNA from 1 species
AGCGAACGCUGGCGGCAGGCCUAACACAUGCAAGUCGAGCGGGCACCUUCGGGUGUCAGCGGCAGACGGGUGAGUAACACGUGGGAACGUGCCCUUUGGUUCGGGACAACUCCGGGAAACUGGAGCUAAUACCGGAUAAGCCCUUGGGGGAAAGAUUUAUUGCCAGAGGAUCGGCCCGCGUCUGAUUAGCUUGUUGGUGAGGUAAUGGCUCACCAAGGCGACGAUCAGUAGCNGGUCUGAGAGGAUGAUCAGCCACACUGGGACUGAGACACGGCCCAGACUCCUACGGGAGGCAGCAGUGGGGAAUAUUGGACAAUGGGCGCAAGCCUGAUCCAGCCAUGCCGCGUGAGUGAUG